rnacentral:lncRNA from 1 species
AGAAACCCUGUCUCAAAAAACAAACAACAACAAAAAAAGAUGUCAUAAUGAAACUGCUAUAUGACAACUUAAAAAAGUGGAGAAGCACCGUAGGUGUCUGUCAGGGUUGUAGCCUGUGGAGUGUGACUUAGGAGAGCCAGCACCUUCAUGUGGACGUGGUGGCAAAGGCUCCCUGCAUGGCCUGUUCGAGGUUUAACUUCCACUUCAUUCCACCAGCUCACAGAGCUAGCUCUCAGUACUGGCUGAUGGCAGGCUGGUCCCAGGCAGGCUGCUGCUGGCUCAGGAGCCACGUUCCUCCGGGAGCCCACAACAGUCACUGUUUGUGGGUGGGAAGCAGCUUCGCUGCCUCUGGCUCUAUGACUGGCUGUGCUGCUCCAUAGGACCCCUGGUCAGGCACUCCAUUGUGCCUCUCAAUGGCUGCUUCAUGAUGACCCCUAAAUGGGGUUUAAAAUCUGAGCCUUGAGGAUGACUGGGAAUUCAUAUUCAAACUUAGCAGUAUUGGUAGAUGGAAACAGGUUAAUAGUGGCAGUGACCUCUGCCACUGUCCCCCGGCUGUUGUAAAACUCCCAGGCCCCAGGCACUGAAAUGUCAGGACGACUUCCCUGGCAGGACUCUAGAAAGAAUCCAUCCUGGCCUCCCUCUUCCAAGACCCUGGCCCAACCUCCAGUCAUUCACAUGGGUUUAGCCUCUGGUCCCAUCACCAUCUCUUAGGAGGGGAGGUUACCUGGACGAGCAUUUAGGGCUAACCCCAGACUGUCUGGGUUAACCAUGCCUUUGCUUAAAUAUCAUGAACAUUAAUUUUGAAGGUGUUUUAUGAGCUACCCCAGGGCUUUGAUGGUUUUUUUGUUUUGUUUUGUUUUAACUCAGUGCUAUGAAGUAAACCAUUGUCUAAAUUGCAACCUGCACUUGAGUGAACCCAGAAUGUACACUACACAUAAGCUCUAUAGGUAGGUAGCACCCACUUCAGGAUCUUGAACUGCUGUAGCAUCGUGGCCACUGACUUUGCCAUUAAGUAAAGGUUAAACUUACGGUUGUGCUAGACAUACUUCAGUAGCCCAGUAGCCUCAAUGUAGCUAACAAGUUGUAUAAAAGAGGUAAGGGGAGGGUUAUUAAUAAUUGAAUUUUUUUAAAGGCAGUGUUUCCCUAUGUAGUCCACGCUGGCCUCAAACUCAGCAAUCCUCCUGCCUCACCUUUCAGAGUACUGAGACUACAGGUGUGUGCCACUGUGUUUUGCUAAAGUCAGAGUUUUAUCUCUGUCAAAGACCACUUCUGUUCUGUAUGGUCAUUGGGAAGGGAAGCUGUCCUGGCUUUUUUUUUUAAUCUAUUAGCUCAGAAAGAUGUGUCUUCCAUACAAGUAGCAAACUUGCAGUUCUGCCUUAGUCUCUGUGGAUUGUACAGUAGGCUCUCGUCACCAACUGGCGAGAGUCAGGCAGGUGGUCCAUGAGGACUUUCUUGUUCUCAGACUAGCAUAGAGACUGCUUAUUUUGUGUGUUGGAGUCAUGGCCCUGAGAAGACACAGGUUAUUUCACAGUUUUAAACUGCUCAUCCAUCAGAUGUGGUGACCCUUUAAAUUCCUGCAGGAUUUCACCUAUGAAUUUACCUAAGUUUGCUCUUUGUCCUUGUUUUGCACUCCGCUUUUUAAGCCAUAUGUUAGAGGAUAUGUACAUCUUGGUGAUUUAAUGGAACAGACAGAAAGGGCCAGUGUGGCUCAGUGGAUAGAGGUGCUUGCCACUGAACUGGGUGGCCUGAUGGGACCCACUUGUGAUAAGAGCCAGCUUCCACAGGUGGUUCUCUGACCUGCACACCCCCUGCGACAUUGUACACUUUCACACACAAAUACAAUACAUUUAAAAACAGAGCAGUCCAUUUCUUCUGCCAGUCCUUACUCUCAUCUUCGUGGGUGUCUGCUAAGGCUUCCGUGGAGUUUGGCGUGCUGCCUGCCUCUGUAUUUUAAUGUGAUGGAGCAUGUGGGGUGUACUUUACUAUGUAGUUCCUUUCUCAGUGUUGUGUCUAUUGAGAUUCAUUCACGAGACAGGUUAUAGCCUUUUUUCUGUCUAGGAGUUUUACAGCUUAUAAGUUCAGUUUAAUGUGUAUCUUUUAUUAAAAAAAAAAAGAAACCUACAAUAAGUAAUGUCAGAAAACAAUUGUCAUAAUUUCCAUUGGUUCAUUUUUACCAUUCUUUAUUUUAUGUGUGUAUUUGCCUGAUGUAUGUCUGUGUACCACUGUGGGCCUCUACAGAGGCAAGAAGAGGGUGUCAGAGUCCCUGGAGCUGGAGUUACAGGAAGUUGUGAGUUGCUGUGUUGUUGUUGGGGAUUGAACUCGGGUCCUCUGCAAGAGCAGACAGGACCUUUUUAACUGUUGUGCCAUCUCCAGGUCCAGUUUUACAUCCGCCCUCACCCUCGUUGUAUAAGAAUUGGUUGGUGACAUCUCGGUAGUUAUUGCCAUUGCUGCCAUAAGAAUGAGGGCAUAGUCUGUGACGAUAAUAAUGAACACUGUCCAGGAAUAAUGAGGGAAUGUGGCUAUCUCAUACGUAGUCCAUACUCAAAUACAGACAUGUAUUGUUUCCAGAUACUAAACUCCCUGAGCUAACCUAUAAUAAUAGUUUCUUCAUCAUCAUCAGAAGAAGAAAUAAUAUAAUAAUAAUGAUGAUGAUGGCUGGGACCAGAUGAUGAUGGUGAUGGCGGCGGCUGGGACUAGAUGUUCAGUAGGUAGGCCUACUGGGCACUCUGGAUCCAAACCUAAUUACAGAUUUAGC